rnacentral:rRNA from 1 species
GCCUGGGGAUCUGCCCACUCGAGGGGGAUAACUACUGGAAACGGUAGCUAAUACCGCAUACGCCCUACGGGGGAAAGCAGGGGACCUUCGGGCCUUGCGCGAUUGGAUGAACCCAGGUGGGAUUAUCUAGUUGGUGAGGUAGUGGCUCACCAAGGCGACUAUCCCUAUCUGGUCUGAGAGGAUGAUCAGCCACUCUGGAACUGAGACACGGUCCAGACUCCUACGGGAGGCAGCAGUGGGGAAUAUUGCACAAUGGGGGAAACCCUGAUGCACCCAUGCCGCGUGUGUGAAGAACGCCUUCGGGUUGUAAAGCACUUUCAGCGAGGAGGAAAGGUUGGUAGCUAAUAACUGCCAGCUGUGACGUUACUCGCAGAAGAAGCACCGGCUAACUCCGUGCCAGCAGCCGCGGUAAUACAGAGGGUGCAAGCGUUAAUCGGAAUUACUGGGCGUAAAGCGCACGCAGGCGGUUGGAUAAGUUAGAUGUGAAAGCCCCGGGCUCACCCUGGGAAUUGCAUUUAAAACUGUCCAGCUAGAGUCUUGUAGAGGGGGGUAGAAUUCCGGGUGUAGCGGUGAAAUGCGUAGAGAUCUGGAGGAAUACCGGUG